rnacentral:rRNA from 1 species
GGGGAAUCUUGCACAAUGGAGGAAACUCUGAUGCAGCGACGCCGCGUGAGCGAAGAAGCCUUUCGGGGUGUAAAGCUCUUACGCCAGGGACGAUAAUGACGGUACCUGGAGAAGCAGCUGCGGCUAACUACGUGCCAGCAGCCGCGGUAAUACGUAGGCAGCAAGCGUUGUUCGGAAUUACUGGGCGUAAAGGGUGCGUAGGCGGCGCUCUAAGUCUGGUGUGAAAUCUCCCGGCUUAACUGGGAGGGUGCACUGAAAACUGGGGCGCUCGAGUAUGGGAGAGGAAAGCGGAAUUCCUGGUGUAGCGGUGAAAUGCGUAGAGAUCAGGAGGAACACCGGCGGUGUAGACGGCUUGCUAGACCAUAACUGACGCUGAGGCACGAAAGCGUGGGUAGCAAACA